rnacentral:tRNA from 1 species
GCCGAGAUAGCUCAACGGCAGAGCAACGGUUUCGUAAAUCGUAGGUUGUGGGUUCAAGUCCCACUCUCGGCU